rnacentral:rRNA from 1 species
CAGCCGCCACGGUAAUACGAAGGGUGCAAGCGUUAAUCGGAAUUACUGGGCGUAAAGCGUGCGUAGGCGGUUUGUUAAGUCUGUUGUGAAAUCCCCGGGCUCAACCUGGGAAUGGCAAUGGAUACUGGCAAGCUAGAGUGUGUCAGAGGAUGGUGGAAUUCCCGGUGUAGCGGUGAAAUGCGUAGAGAUCGGGAGGAACAUCAGUGGCGAAGGCGGCCAUCUGGGACAACACUGACGCUGAGGCACGAAAGCGUGGGGAGCAAACAGGAUUAGAUACCCCCGUAGUCCCUGUCUCUUAUAC